GAAAGUCUCAUUGCUUAAGGCGAGAUCACACCUAUUAAAAAUAAAAGGUGUGAAAACUGAUGAGGUUGAAGUGAGAAACUGCUCAAAAGUGCUUUUAGCUUUCAGUGUCUCUGCUGAACUCAGGGGAUGAGGAUCCAGUUUAACAACAGAGACUUAUCGAGGUCAUAGACAAAAUUAUUAAAACAUAUUUAUCUGCAGACCUUUGAGACUUUAAAGAUGGCCAAAGACUCACCUGAAAUGAUUUAUGAAAAUGUUCAAACGAUUCCAAAAGCGAGAAAAAAGGAACCAUCAAAAACUUGUUCCUGCCGUCUGUUGUGUUUGUGGAUAAUUAGCUUCCUCCUGGUGGGAAGCAUUGCAGUCAACAUCUGGAUGUGUCUUCAGAUGUACAAACAGAAAGCAACUUUCCAGGAGCUGGAGAUGAAGAUGGGAAAAGUACAAAAUUACAGUGAAGUGCUGACUCAUGAGAAUAAUGACCUGAACUUAUGGCUGAGCUUUUUUCUGAAAUUCAAAAAUGUUCAAGUCUCAAAAUACUGCAAUGGUGAAAGUGAGUUGGUAUCAUGUGACCUUCCUGAAAACAAAACAAAUUACUCCUAAUUGAUGCUGAAAGUCGCUCCGUCUCCCUGUUUGUUUCACGUUGACAGAGUGUCAGCCGUGUCAGGAAGGAUGGGUUGAGUUUCAGAAAAAGUGCUAUCUGUUUAUUGAUGAACACCCUUGGAAAACCUGGAAGGAAAGCGAUGAGCUCUGCAAAAGCAAAUCCGCAGAUCUGGUCGUUAUUGAUCACCUGCAAGAACAGGUGAGCUCUAGGACGGCUUCAUCUUUUAAAAUUACAUUUUUAACUUUUAAAAUAUAAUUGUAAUCAUUUUAAACCAAAUGACUUUCAGGAGUUUCUCAGUAAACAGAUUAAGUAUUACUAUGGCAAAUAUCAUGGAUACUGGUUGGGCUUACGUGAAAUUAACAACAGAUGGGUGUGGACUGACGGACGUAAUGACACUCUUGGGUAAGAAAUUUUAAUUAAAAGUAAAAUAAACACAAGAAAUAAAUAAGAUAAAACACCGACUGUUUGUCGUCACCUUCCUCAAAUAAUCACCGAAAUCCAUUUUUUGGGGAAAAACUUGAAUGAAUGUUUAAAUCAAGAUUAAAUCCACCUGGUCAGAGUUUAUAUUGAAACCAAAUAAUUAAAACAUUGACCAGAGGUGGACAGAGCAGAUAAAACUUUUACUCAAGUAAAAGUACAAAAGUAUUUGGUACCACAUUAAGUCAUUUUCCUUAAGUAUUUUGGAGUUACAUUCCUCAGAAAAAUCACAAAAUGUGAGGUUCUAUUCUUCGGCAAUCAGUUCUCGCCGUGACCUUGUAAUGUUUCUCUAUCAUUUCUGUUUAUAUUCAUUCAGUUUAGAACUAGCAGAAUUUAACAGUCACUAAUGUUUUGAAGGUUCUGGAUAGGAUCAGUUCAUGGUUCCCCUGGUCCGUUUGCUCUGCUGAUCCCAGGAAAAACUCCGACAAAGAGUUGGGACACAUCAGAUAACGCCUUUCUGAACAAAUUCAUCUGCGAGCAAGAAGCCCUGCUGAAGCUUGAAACUAGAGCAGGGUGUCAGACCUUUGACCCGACGCUGGGGGUUUGCAGAAACAUUUCUCAAAUGUCUGCUACCUAAAUGAGCUUUUCUUGAUCUCCUGCUCCAACAGCAAACAGAGUUUGCAGCUCGUUUAGGCGCAGCAGCUCGUUUAGGCGCAGCAGCUCGUUUAGGCGCAGCAGCUCGUUUAGGCGCAGCAGCUCGUUUAGGCGCAGCAGCUCAUUUAGGCGCAGCAGCUCGUAAGUCUGUUUGUGGUUAUGACAGAGAAAUGUGUUGCUUUGAAAUUACAACCACAGACAAGAUAGAGACAAAGUAAAAACAUUUUAACAUUUUGCAACUUUGAAUUUGUCUUUGUAAAAAGUGUUGCAUCGUAUUUAUGUGAAUAUGUGUUAAGAUGCAUGCUGGUUUUCACAGCUUCUACUCAUUUUAAAUAAUAUUUCUGCUGAUAUCUGCACAGAUUAGCAUUGUGUUCUUUAUUCAGUUUUUUAAAAUGUGUUUUUAUUCUUAUGAAUCUUUUUGCUUUGAUUGCUUUUCACUUUGCUGAUGUAACAAAAUUUGACAAACAAUA